GAUUGGAUAGUAUAGUGGUGAGUACAAUUCGUUGUGGCCCGACGGUGUGAACACCCACCGAACAAACACCGAAUAGACCCAGGUUCGAUUCCUGGUCCAGUCA